AAUCCACCCUCGCACUCUCUCUCAAAAUCUCAACAUUUUUCAAUUUCAAAAGAAGACCUUUCUUUCUCUCUCUCCAGUAAGUAGAAGAAAAGAACUUGUACACCUUUAGCCGUUCAAAUUCUAUGUAAUAAGGUUUGAUUCUUCUUGUAAUCAUAUGGAAUUUCAAUUUCUAUCAAAGAGAGAGUCUUCAUCAGGUUAAAAGACCUAAGCAUAUCAAUAAAUACAGUCAAUUGAACCAAAAGAGAGAGUUUAAAUUUAAAACUUGAUUGAAGUGGAAUAAAGGGAAUGAGAGCUCAUGGAGCAACAUUUCAAUGUGUUAUUUUGCCUAUACAAACAUAAAAUAAGUACCAAAAUAAAUAGUAUUUUUUAGUAAAAUGGUUUCAUAAAUCACUUUUGCAACACCAUUCCUUACUUUAAAGUUGAUUGUUGCUUUGGCAUGGGUCGGGGUUUUGGGGUCAGUUUCUUUUCCUUUUGCUUUUCGAAUUCGCUUUAAAAUCUUGCUUCUAAUAUUAUUUGAAGAAAAACUAGCUAAGCUAAAAUUAUCAUGCUGCUUCUUUGAAUUGUGGGAUUCUUAUUGGAUUGGAAUAGACAGUUAGGCUGGGAGUGAUUUUUGCCUUGCCUAAUAACUAAACAUUGCUUUAUCACUGCUAUUUAUUCAAAAUCAAUUUUGAAUUU